ACGUAUGGUGCAAGCGUUAUCCGGAAUCAUUGGGCGUAAAGCGCGCGUAGGCGGCUUGUUAAGCAGGAAUUUAAAUCUUAGGGCUCAACCUUAAGUUGGUUCCUGAACUGGCAGGCUCGAGUGCGGUAGAGGAAGGUGGAAUUCCCAGUGUAGCGGUGAAAUGCGCAGAUAUUGGGAAGAACACCGAUGGCGAAGGCAGCCUUCUGGGCCGCCACUGACGCUGAGGCGCGAAAGCUAGGGGAGCGAACAG
rnacentral:rRNA from 1 species